rnacentral:rRNA from 1 species
GGAGGUGGCGAGCGUUGUUCGGAAUUACUGGGCGUAAAGGGCGCGUAGGCGGGGGGAGAAGUCGGGUGUGAAAGCCCUCGGCUCAACCGAGGAACGGCGCUCGAGACUCUCUCUCUUGAGUCCCGGAGAGGACGAUGGAAUUCCCGGUGUAGCGGUGAAAUGUGUAGAGAUCGGGAGGAACACCGGUGGCGAAGGCGGUCGUCUGGACGGUGACUGACGCUGAGGCGCGAAAGCGUGGGGAGCAAACGGGAUUAGAUACCCCGGUAGUCCACGCGGUAAACGAUGGGUGCUAGGUGUGGGGGGUAUCGACCCCCUCCGUGCCGAAGCUAACGCAUUAAGCACCCCGCCUGGGGAGUACGGCCGCAAGGUUG